rnacentral:rRNA from 1 species
UACAGAGGGGGCAAGCGUUGUUCGGAAUUACUGGGCGUAAAGGGCGCGUAGGCGGCCUGCUAAGUCGAACGUGAAAUCCCCGAGCUCAACUCGGGAACUGCGUCCGAUACUGGCAGGCUUGAAUCCGGGAGAGGGAUGCGGAAUUCUAGGUGUAGCGGUGAAAUGCGUAGAUAUCUGGAGGAACACCGGUGGCGAAGGCGGCAUCCUGGACCGGCAUUGACGCUGAGGCGCGAAAGCCAGGGGAGCAAACGGG